rnacentral:rRNA from 1 species
AUUGAACGCAGGCGGCAUGCCUUACACAUGCAAGUCGAACGGCAGCAUGAUCUAGCUUGCUAGAUUGAUGGCGAGUGGCGAACGGGUGAGUAAUACAUCGGAACGUGCCCUGUAGUGGGGGAUAACUAGUCGAAAGAUUAGCUAAUACCGCAUACGACCUGAGGGUGAAAGUGGGGGACCGCAAGGCCUCAUGCUAUAGGAGCGGCCGAUGUCUGAUUAGCUAGUUGGUGAGGUAAAGGCUCACCAAGGCGACGAUCAGUAGCUGGUCUGAGAGGACGAUCAGCCACACUGGGACUGAGACACGGCCCAGACUCCUACGGGAGGCAGCAGUGGGGAAUUUUGGACAAUGGGGGCAACCCUGAUCCAGCAAUGCCGCGUGUGUGAAGAAGGCCUUCGGGUUGUAAAGCACUUUUGUCCGGAAAGAAAUCGCACUUACUAAUAUUAGGUGUGGAUGACGGUACCGGAAGAAUAAGGACCGGCUAACUACGUGCCAGCCGCCGCGGUAAUAC